rfam:Heterocephalus glaber contig44601, whole genome shotgun sequence.
GGAUGUGAGGGCAUCCUAGCUGCGACAUGUCACCCCACUGAUCACCAAGGUUGAUUCGGCUAUCUGGCUGGGUAGGUGGAUGUCACCUUCCUCCCUCACUGCUCCAUAUGUGUCCCUCCUGAAGCUGUGCGCUGGAUCAAAGAGAACAACUACCCCUCGUAGAAGAGGACUGUUUCCUCAGUCAAGGGUAUACAUAUGAGUGGCUGCAUUCCCCUGCUAGAGCCUACAAACUCAGAAAGACAGAUGGGAGGGGCCAGGGAUUUAGCUCAGUAGUUCCACCACCUGCUGUGCAAACACA